rnacentral:rRNA from 1 species
UACGUAGGGUGCGAGCGUUGUCCGGAAUUAUUGGGCGUAAAGAGCUCGUAGGCGGUGUGUCACGUCGGCCGUGAAAACCUGGGGCUUAACUCUGGGCGUGCGGUCGAUACGGGCAUCACUAGAGUUCGGCAGGGGAGACUGGAAUUCCUGGUGAUAGCGGUGAAAUGCGCAGAUAUCAGGAGGAACACCGGUGGCGAAGGCGGGUCUCUGGGCAACAACGUGACGCUGGAGGAGCGAAAGCGUGGGGAGCGAAACAGGAU